UCUUUUUAAUUCUCUUUACCCCAAGCCUGUUUUGUUAGCUAUGACCUCUUAUUUUUUUAAUUAUCCCUUCUCCUUAAAACCCUACUCCGUAGCUUCCUGCUUCCAGCCUCCAACCUACUUUUUCUUGCUGUAUCCUCCUUCCCUUGAUUUUCUCUUUCUAUUUUGAUGCAAAUCAUGCAACCGCCUUUCACCUUCAUCCAUUCUCUCUCCUCGUCGCAGCCCAACCGCCGCCUACAACUCUACUGCAGACCUCCGUCAUCAUCACCUUGCGGCGGCAAAGUCUUCAAUUAGUUCGUUCUUGCUCCCAUCCAAACACUCAAUACUCUCUCUUUGGCUUCUAAGCUUAUGAGCAUAUGAGCAUAUGAGCAUGUGAAGUGGGUAAGUUCAUAUUCGAAGCUAAAUACACCGUCCAACACGAUAUGAAUAUUUGAAGCUCAUGCUAAAGAUGCGUAUUAGGAUUUAAAGAUUGUUUGAUACUUUGUACGUUGGGUUGUGUUAUUUGUUGUAUGCACCAUAUACUUCGUAUUUGAAUAAAACGUUAAAUGUACAUAUAAUUUGAAAUUUAAAUAUUAAAUAUUAAAUUAAAUAA